AUUGAACGCUGGCGGCAUGCCUUACACAUGCAAGUCGAACGGCAGCACGGGAGCAAUCCUGGUGGCGAGUGGCGAACGGGUGAGUAAUAUAUCGGAACGUGCCCAGUCGUGGGGGAUAACGCAGCGAAAGCUGUGCUAAUACCGCAUACGAUCUACGGAUGAAAGCGGGGGAUCGCAAGACCUCGCGCGAUUGGAGCGGCCGAUCUCAGAUUAGCUAGUUGGUGGGGUAAAGGCCAACCAAGGCCACGAUCUGUAGCUGGUCUGAGAGGACGACCAGCCACACUGGAACUGGGACACGGUCCAGACUCCUACGGGAGGCAGCAGUGGGGAAUUUUGGACAAUGGGCGCAAGCCUGAUCCAGCGAUGCCGCGUGCAGGAUGAAGGCCUUCGGGUUGUAAACUGCUUUUGUACGGAACGAAACGGCCCUUUCUAAUACAGGGGGCUAAUGACGGUACCGUAAGAAUAAGCACCGGCUAACUACGUGCCAGCCGCCGCGGUAAUAC
rnacentral:rRNA from 1 species